rnacentral:lncRNA from 1 species
GCACGAGAUACGGAAGCUGAUUGGUCGGCUGCGGCGCAGCUUGAUGGCGUCGGGCAGGAGCGCCGCUGUCCCCGCGGCGGCCUCCGGGCGAAGGCCAGCAGCGUUAGUGGGCCGGCGGCCCGAGCGGUCGUGCCCUGGGGAGUGGGAAGUGGAAACAUGAACGCUCCUGACGUCUGCCAUGAGUUUCCUGAUAGACUCCAGCAUCAUGAUAACCUCCCAGGUGGGUCUCCA